GGUAUGUUCUCACUGUCCCACCAAGGCGUAAUGUUUGACUGACUGGUAAGAACCAGGUGACAGAAGCUUCUGUGGCUGUUGUGUUACAGGCGUGUCUGCAGGGACGACCUCACCAACUCCUACCUUGGAUGCUGCACAAAAGGCCAGCUCCCAUGGCAGGGGUGAGUAGUGUGUCCCUGCUGACCCCUCAGGCUGAGCCCUGCUUUUGUGGGGUCCAUUCCUGGGAAAUGGAACUACUUUCUCUUAAGGUCCUCUGUCAGGAAAGACCAAAGACAUGGCAGGCAGGAAAUUCCAGGACCCAUUAGAAAUCAUGUGGCAAAUGCUGAAGGAACGUCUGCAGAGAAGACAAGAAAUGAAAGGAGAGCCUGCGGAGAAAGAAGCAUUUCCCGGAGGAAGCAGUGGUUGCAUGCCAGCCUCAGCUCCAGGAAGGGAGGCCAUGCCAGGCACAGGCACAGGAGAUGAGGGUGCUGGGAAGGCUUCUCCAUCAGCUUGGAUGAAGAAAGUUUUGAAGCCCUUGGAGCCUCCUGCAGAUGUGUCUACAGGGAAGACUUCUCCAGCUUCUCCAGCUGCUACCUUGGAUGCUGCACUCAAGCCCAGCUCCCAUCUCAGGGGUG